rnacentral:SRP_RNA from 1 species
GCUGGGUGUGGUGGCGCACACCUGUAAUCCCAGCUACUUAGGAGGCUGAGGCAGGAGAAUCGCUUGAACUCGGGAGGUGGAGGUUGCAGUGAGCUGAGAUCAUGCCAUUGCACUCCAGCCUGGGCAACAGAGCGAGACUCCGUCUCAA